rnacentral:rRNA from 1 species
GGUCAAGCUACAAAGGGCGCAUGGUGAAUGCCUUGGCAUCAGGAGCCGAUGAAGGACGCGAUAAGCUGCGAUAAGCUUCGGGUAGACGCACAUAGUCAGAGAUCCGAAGAUUUCCGAAUGAGGAAACUCACAUGGGAAACCCCAUGUAUCAUAAAGUGAAUACAUAGCUUUAUGAAGGUAUACCCAGGGAACUGAAACAUCUAAGUACCUGGAGGAAGAGAAAGAAAAAUCGAUUUUCUUAGUAGCGGCGAGCGAAAAGGAAAGAGCCCAAACCAGAGAUUUAUCUCUGGGGUUGCGGACAGAACAUAACGAGAAAUCAUAGUUAAUUGAACACAACUGGAAAGUUGGACCACAGUGGGUAAUAGUCCCGUAAGUGAAAACUAUGAUAAUCAGUUCUGCACCAGAGUACCACGAGACACGUGAAACCUUGUGGGAAGCAGGGAGGACCACCUCCCAAGGCUAAAUACUACCUGAUGACCGAUAGUGAAGCAGUACCGUGAGGGAAAGGUGAAAAGAACCCCGGGAGGGGAGUGAAAUAGAACCUGAAACCAUGUGCCUACAACCGAUCAGAGCACCUUAUGUGUGUGAUGAUGUGCUUUUUGUAGAACGAGCCAACGAGUUACGGUAUGUAGCGAGGUUAAGUACUUAAGGUACGGAGCCGAAGGGAAACCGAGUCUUAAUAGGGCGACUAGUUGCAUGCUGUAGACCCGAAACCGGGUGACCUAUCCAUGGCCAGGUUGAAGCGAGGGUAAAACCUCGUGGAGGACCGAACCACGUUGCUGUUGAAAAAGCAUGGGAUGAGCUGUGGAUAGCGGAGAAAUUCCAAUCGAACUCGGAUAUAGCUGGUUCUCCUCGAAAUAGCUUUAGGGCUAGCGUCGGAAAAUGUGAGUAGUGGAGGUAGAGCACUGAAUAGGCUAGGGGGCAUAGCGCUUACCGAACCUUAUCAAACUCCGAAUGCCACAUACUAUCAGUCCGGCAGUCAGACUAUGAAAGAUAAGUUCCAUGGUCAAAAGGGAAACAGCCCAGAUCGUCAGCUAAGGUCCCAAAGUGUAAGUUAAGUGGAAAAGGAUGUGGGAUUUCUAAGACAACUAGGAUGUUGGCUUAGAAGCAGCCACUCAUUAAAAGAGUGCGUAAUAGCUCACUAGUCAAGAGAUCCUGCGCCGAAAAUGUCCGGGGCUCAAACUUACCACCGAAGCUACGGGUUCACGCAUUAGCGUGAGCGGUAGAGGAGCGUCGUAAUCGGGCUGAAGUCGUACCGUAAGGAGCGGUGGACUGAUUACGAGUGAGAAUGUUGGCAUUAGUAGCGAGAUGUAGGCGAGAAUCCUACAGGCCGAAUAUCUAAGGUUUCCUGAGUAAAGUUUGUCUUCUCAGGGUUAGUCGGGACCUAAGGCGAGGCCGAAAGGCGUAGUCGAUGGACAAUUGGUUGAUAUUCCAAUACCACUAUAAUCGUUAUUAUCGAU